rnacentral:rRNA from 1 species
UACAGAGGUCCCGAGCGUUGUUCGGAUUCACUGGGCGUAAAGGGUGCGUAGGUGGCUGGGAAAGUUUGAUGUGAAAGCUCAGGGCUUAACCCUGAAAUGGCAUUGAAUACUGCCUGGCUGGAGGUUUGGAGGGGGGACUGGAAUUCUUGGUGUAGCAGUGAAAUGCGCAGAUAUCAGGAGGAACACCGGUGGCGAAGGCGGGUCUCUGGGCCGGAACUGACGCUAAGGAGCGAAAGCGUGGGGAGCGAACAGG